rnacentral:lncRNA from 1 species
UUUUUUCUUUUUGAUAGUGCUGUUUUUAUUGCAUUUAUAUUAGGAAGAUAGAAACUUGAUUGCAGUAGAAGCUUUUUAGGUGUUUUUUAAAAGAUUGCUGAGAGUUUUUUUUUGAGUUUUCCGGGACAACUUAUAUAGAGAUAGAUACUUUUAAAUUCUGGACAACUGAGUGAAUAAUUGGUGCAAUUCUAGAGUUUAUUGGCCUUUCAGGUUGCUAAGGUUUACCUGGAAGUAGAUUGCAAUGAGUGGUGGAUUCAAUUUAUGAUUGUACAUUACUAAUAUGAAGUUUGUGGUGAUCAAUGUUCAAUAUUUUGACCUUUUGGUCUAGGCAUCCCUCUUCAAUUGAGACAUUAUAGAUGGUUGUGGAGAUAGAAGAGUGUUUUGGUUCUCUCUGCAAGGCAAUGCGACUUUGGUUUAUCCUUUUCAUUGUAGUUUCUUAACCAGAAAGCACCAAGUUCAAACUCCUACUUCUCAUUAAUUCGGAAUGAGGCACUUACAAGCUAUAUGUUAUAAAAUCUAUUGUAAGUUGUAACAGUAGCGCUAUCAUUUGACAAAAUACAAAUGUCACAUCCUAAUUAGAGAGCCCUAUGAUUGGAACCAAUCUACUGAUUCUGUAAUGUUUAUUAGUAAUAAAAAAAAUAGCUCCAAAUGUUGAGGUUUAUUUAAUUUUCUUAAAUUGCUGAAUUUUCUGUAAGCAAGCAAUAACUACUGUAUCAGUUUGUCUGGUCAAUUCUUGCUGUUGUAAAAUAUGUUGCAGCUUGGACUGCAUUACUUACAAUGAUAUGGUUUCUCUCAUAUAACAUUUAUGUACAGUGGAAAUUUUCUUUUUGUCACUCCUUGUUAAUAUAGCAAAUAAAUUUACUAUUCCAAUUUCCAAGCCAUUGUUCCAUAUUGUUAUUUCCAUGGGAAGAUUUUCUUUUGCACACAUCUGUUGCCAUCUUCAAUAUACAAGUUGAAUACUGAGUUUAAUGUGGUUUGCUCUUUUAUGCAAGGGUAGAGGAAGAUGCAUACACAAGCACUAUUUAAUAGUUUUGGCUGCCGUUUUGCUAAACCGAGUCCAACGAAAGAAGGCUUGAUAGUCAUGUUGGUAGUUUUGCUAAACUGAGUCCAACAAAAUGAGGCUUGAUCUCUCUUCAUCUUUUUAUCACUUCUGUUAUAUCUAUCGUAAUUUUAUCGGUAUCUUAUACCCUUAGUAGGGGUUCCUUUAAAUUGUCUAAGCUGAAGUCAGUUAACAAUUUUGUGGCUGUAGAAACUGCUCAACUUUUAAGUAAUUUUGAAUGCAUAUCUUGAGAUAGGCUGAUCAAAAGUAUAUAUAGCUCUCUCCACACACACAUGCACUUAAUUUGAACCUAUUGAGAUGAGUUCAGUACAGACAAUAACCCUAUGUUAGGGUUUAAAAAUCUUUUCCUUUUCUUAAUCUCUCACUCAAAGAUAACGAAAAGAAACUGAAAUCUCAAUCUCUUGGCAAGGAGAAGUUGGUAAGUUAUGAACCCAACUACAAUGAAAGAAAAUAGAAAGUUUUUACGUUCUUAAUUUCCUCUUAAUGCAUCUCUUAAUGCAUUGAUAAGUAUCCUUAUAUGAUAGGUUUCUACUUUGCUCCCUAGUGCUUGUUAGACCUUUUUUUGUUGGGCAUUUUAUUCAAUAUACUCUGUGUUUUGAAUGUACAUCUACUCUGUAGGUACAAGGUGAAACUAAAUUAAUAUCAAUUCGGAGGCAAGUCAAUAACCAACAAAUGGUUUGUUAUCUCUUGAUUCUAAUUUAACCGAUUCUUUUGCAAAAAUAUUUAACAUUUAUUGUUCUUAAAUUUUAAAUAUGAUGCUCAUUUUGUGAUUUCAGGAGCUAUUGAACGAGAGAGAAAAUAGCUUUGAUAUUUCCUAUGUUCUUCAUCUUUUAGUUGACAAUAAUUAAUUUAAAUUGUGCUGAUUUUGUUGCAGGGACAGCUGAGUUCAGUACCUUCAAUACAGUAACGAUCAUUGUUGUUUUUGUGUUUUGAGAGAUACAAAUUUGUUACCAACUAAGUUUUGAUUGUUGUAACUGUUAAGUUACCGAUUGUUGUAACAGUUCAAAUGUUAAUUGGCUGUGUUUUUUUUUUUGCUUCUAUAUCAUUGUUAAUUGUUGAACUAUGAGCUGAUACAUUCUAG